rnacentral:rRNA from 1 species
GGGGAAUAUUGGACAAUGGGCGCAAGCCUGAUCCAGCCAUGCCGCGUGAGUGAUGAAGGCCCUAGGGUUGUAAAGCUCUUUCACCGAUGAAGAUAAUGACGGUAGUCGGAGAAGAAGCCCCGGCUAACUUCGUGCCAGCAGCCGCGGUAAUACGAAGGGGGCUAGCGUUGUUCGGAAUUACUGGGCGUAAAGCGCACGUAGGCGGAUCGGUCAGUUAGGGGUGAAAUCCCAGGGCUCAACCCUGGAACUGCCUCUAAUACUGCUGGUCUAGAGUUCGAGAGAGGUGAGUGGAAUUCCGAGUGUAGAGGUGAAAUUCGUAGAUAUUCGGAGGAACACCAGUGGCGAAGGCGGCUCACUGGCUCGAUACUGACGCUGAGGUGCGAAAGCGUGGGGAGCAAAC